GCAGAGCUGAGUGUGAUGGCAGCAUGGCUGCCAAGGUCAGUGGCAGCUCCUCCUCCUCCUGCUGCUGCUGCUGCUGCUGCUGUCGCCACUGGCUGAGGGUGCUUCCCCCCUUCCUGUCUGUAGCAGCAGCAGCAGCAGCAGCAGCAGGAGGAGGAGGAGC